rnacentral:tRNA from 1 species
GGCGAGAUAGCUCAGUUGGUUAGAGCGCAGCACUCAUAAUGCUGAGGUCGAGAGUUCGAAUCUCUCUUUCGCUACUA